AGAGUUGAUAUGGCUCAGGACGAACGCUGGCGGCGUGCUUAACACAUGCAAGUCGAGCGAUGAAGCUCUUCGGGAGUGGAUUAGCGGCGGACGGGUGAGUAACACGUGGGUAACCUGCCCCAUAGAGGGGAAUAGCCUUUCGAAAGGAAGAUUAAUACCGCAUAAGAUUGUAGUACCGCAUGGUACAGCAAUUAAAGGAGUAAUCCGCUAUGAGAUGGACCCGCGUCGCAUUAGCUAGUUGGUGAGGUAACGGCGUCACCAAGGCGACGAUGCGUAGCCGACCUGAGAGGGUGGAUCGGCCACAUUGGGACUGAGACACGGCCCAGACUCCUACGGGAGGCAGCAGUGGGGAAUAUUGCACAAUGGGGGAAACCCUGAUGCAGCAACGCCGCGUGAGUGAUGACGGCCUUCGGGUUGUAAAACUCUGUCUUUGGGGACGAUAAUGACGGUACCCAAGGAGGAAGCCACGGCUAACUACGUGCCAGCAGCCGC
rnacentral:rRNA from 1 species